CUUCCUUCCAGCUCCGUGCCGCGCGUCCCGGCACCCUUAGGCCCACUCCGGGAGGGGUCUGCGUCCUGGGCCCGCCUGCCGGCUGUUCCGUGUCCCGCCGUGCCCGUCGCGGGCGGCCUCGCGCCUGUUCCGCUGCAGGUUGGCCCCGGCGGCGGGAGCGCCCCCGAUCCGGACAAAGAAACGAGCGCUCGGUUGGAGUCCAGUGGCACGAUUUCUGCUCACUGCAGCCUCCACCUCCCGGCCUCAGGUGAUCCUCCCAGCUCAGCCUCCUGAAUAACUAGGACCACAGGCGUACACCACCACACCGGGCUGUUUUAUAUAUUUUCUGUGGAGACAGGGUUUCAUCACGUUGCCCCGGCUGGUCUUGAACUCCGUGACUCAAACAAUCCGCACGCCUAGUCCUCCCAAAGUGCUGAGAUUACAGGCCUGAGCCACCGCGCCCAGCCUGAACCUCCUACUUAAUGUCAGAAAUUUGAUUUGACUUCACAGGGAAAGCCCUGAGAAACUACCAGAACGGGGUCCCUGGGGCCAGUGUUGGGAGCGUA
rnacentral:sRNA from 1 species